rnacentral:lncRNA from 1 species
AGAAUAUUAUGUUCAAAAAAGUCAUUGCAAUAAAUCUCAAGUUAUUAAAGUCAGUUAACAAAUAAGUACUGACAAUUCAUUGACUGGAGUGGAAGAUGUUAGUGUCUUGAACCAACAUGAAACAACAAGUUAACUUAGCUGAGAAUGAUGGUAGUUUAAAAAUAAUGCAGCAUUGGCUAGGAUUGUUCCUAGGUCACAAAAACAAUCUUACAAAUAGAGUUUCUGCUGUUGUCACUGGUUUUAGAGAGUACCUU